UACAGAGGGUGCGAGCGUUGUCCGGAAUCACUGGGCGUAAAGGGCGUGUAGGCGGCUCGGUAAGCAGCGUGUGAAAGCCCGGGGCUCAACCCCGGAACGGCACGCUGGACUGUCGGGCUCGAGACUGGUAGAGGCGAGUGGAAUUCCUGGUGUAGCGGUGGAAUGCGUAGAGAUCAGGAAGAACACCGGUGGCGAAGGCGGCUCGCUGGGCCAGUUCUGACGCUGAGGCGCGAAAGCGUGGGGAGCAAACAGG
rnacentral:rRNA from 1 species